AUUAUAUGACCAAAAUGAUUAUUAAUAUAAAAUGUCUACAAAUAUAAAUAUUUCAGGCGAAGAAGUCUUUGCCACUAAGCCUUUUAAAAAAGGAGGCUUUCUUCUCGAAUACAAAGGGGAUCUGAUAACACGAGUAAAACAUGCACGGCAAUUAGAAAAGUAGUAUGAAAAGGAGAGUCAAGGCAGCUUCAUUUACUUUUUUAAAUACAGAGACAAAUCUUGCUGCAUUGACGCUACCAACGAUAUAUUUCAUGAGGGUCGAAUGAUAAAUGAUGCCGAAAAUGGAGACGCAAAACAAAUUGUGUAAUGAAAAUAGUUGAAGUCAACCAAGCUCCCCAUCUAUGCACUUUCGCCGACAGAGACAUUGCAAUUGGCGAGGAACUCCGAUAUGAUUAUGGAGUACCAACACUUCCAUGGAGAAAGGCAACACAAUGACUACUAGAUCUACGGACAGCCAGGAACCAGGACAAACAACAUCCAUACACACGGAAGAAGUCAAUGAGACGAAAUGUACGGAACAAAAAAGGGCAACACAAUGACUACUAGAUCUACGGACAGCCAGGAACCAGGACAAACAACAUCCGUACACACGGAAGAAGUCGAUGAGACGAAAAGGGUACUUCAAAUACCAGGAGAACAAAACAAGCAGCCAAAAAGCAAUGGAGUGAAAACGAAAAAGGAGCUGUUCACAGACACUUUGAUCGUUUUUUGAUAAUGGGUAAAUUACCAGGGAAAAAAGAAAUACUUGCAUGUAUUGAAAGUGAGAAUGACCUUCACAACAGAAGUUGGAAAAAUUUCAAAGACUUUUGCAGAAAUUUAAUUAAAACAAAAAAGCGACGGGGACUUUUAACUUAAAAAAAUAUAACACAUAUAAUGCACGUUUAGGAGAAUACGUUAAAGGAUGAAGUUGCCACAUUUUUUUGUGUUUUCUUGUUCUAUAUACUCUUUUCGAAAACGAUAUAUGUGUGCUUAUUGUAUUUGAAUGUUUUAUUAAUACGGUUCAGUCAAAAACGAUAUUUUUUCAUAAUCAUA